GCGCGCUGUGUGAAAGUUAAAGCUGCGACUCAAAUCGUUCAGUCAGUCCAGUCUGCUUCAUGUGGUUUAGUUCAGGUUAGGAUUUGUUGGGAAAAAUAUUUUUUUCGUACGAGGCCUGUCUGUUUCCCUGCCGACCCUGCUCCUGUCAGGCUUCUUAUCAGCCGCGGACCGCAAACAGCAGCUCAGUGCUGUGAAGAUGAGUGUUUUCUUCUUUGCAAAUUCACAGAAACCGUUGAGAGUGACUCAUACAGGGAGACUAUCUUCAUGGCACCCAGCAAGCCUGCAAUAGGACGGUGAGCAAGAGAAAGUUCUUCAGUGUAUGACUCAACUGCUGCAGCUGGACAUUCGCACAAUGUGGAGUCUGUCUCUAGUGGAAGAGGAGUUUGUCAGCUGGGUGACAUGCUGUUGCUAAAACUCCUGGAAAACCCCACCAUAAGCCACGUGAAGAGCGAGUCCACCAGAGAUGCCAUCAUUCAUGUGCUAGGAAUCACGGUGAAGAAAUACAAUCACAUGUUGAGUAGGGAGAGAUUGGUCAGAAGUCAAGUGAGGAACUAGCCAGAGAAGGUUCAGGUGUGAAGCUUUUUGUCUGAACCUAGUACUCUGGAACCCGAAACCAUGAUCCCAAACAUCAGUGUUCUCCUUACACACCUGGAUGGAGAGAGUCCGAGUCUGCAGGUGGCUGUGUAUGAGGGUUUUGUCUGGUGAUGAGCUUGAUGACUCUGCUCAUGCAAGCCGAGAUCGUUUCCUGGAAAUGCUGCAGGAGCACAUCCAUGAUGCCCACUCACAUGUCCGAGCACAUGUGCUUCAGUACUGAGAAGGAGGUGGUUCUCGGUAAUUUGGACAUGCUAUGGGAGAGAAGGUUGCAGAAUAUUAUUUGCUGGCUCAAGACACAUUUAUCACCAUCGCUAACAUAACAGACCAUGUGAGGGAUAAAGCAAAUUACAACCUGCUGCCAGACAUCAUCAGCUGAUUAUCUGAUCCUGAAUGUGGAAUGAAGGAGGGGGACUUCAACACCAUUAUGAAAUAACUCCUCUCCUACAUCACUAAAGAGAGACCGAGAGUUUAGUGGAGAAGCUCUGCCAAUGAUUCAGAACCGCAAAAUGCUGUCAUGGCUGAGAGUGAGAUGCCAACACCCAUCGCUCGCAUGUGACACUGAGCACUUUUUUUUUUUUAAAUACCUCUUUGUAAUUUGGUUUUAGACAGAUGAGGUCUGUGACUGUAAUUUUUAAUUGUUUAAUGUUUUAGUUGCCAUCAAAUAUAUCGGUGUCUGUAGGUUUUUAUUAAACUUUUUCCAUGGAGCUGAAUUGUGUUUUUGGGCAGCUUUUAUUGCAGCCCAAGUUUGUUGCAACGAAAAGGGAAAAAAACGAUGAUUAAAGGGCCUGAGUCUAAAAAUGAGAUGCUGAUCCGUGUGAAAGUUUAAUUUGUGUCGCUGCCUAAUGUAGGGUAAGAGAAACUACCUCAGUUGCUUUAGUUUACAAUGUCUAGGCCACAUUUAAAACCUUGCAAUGAAUAUGUGCUUUGCAAAGACUCUGUCCGAAAAUCUCCCAGAAGCAUGAACUGCAUGAGUGAGGCUGGUGGCUGCAAAUGUGCAGCUUUUAGCAUCUGCAACUUCUGUGAUUAUGAGAGCAGACGGGUUUACAACAUACCAGUUCCUCAGCAGUUUAAUUUCACCAAAGAUGUGUUUGAUUUACUUUAAACUGGAUAACACACAUUGUACAUUAACACUGAAUAAACGUCUCAAAAAAAAGGUUAAGACUUUGACUGGAUAAUACUGCUGGGGAAACGGCACUCUGGACCAACCUAAAGUUGAAGUGUGUAAUUUUUUUAAUAGUUUAAAAAAAGUUCUCAAACAGAUAUGCUGACAGUUAUUUUCAUGUAAUGGCUGAUAACCAAAUGAUAUCAGAUAUUUACCCUUCAUACUAUUUUAUCUAAAUAAAUUAAAAAUAAAACAUGUUUUGAAUGCUGCAAAUAAACUGAAUUUGAUAUUAAAUGACUGAGAAUGUUGACCUGGACCUGAAUGCUGUAGUGAUCACAGCAGAAUCAGACUGAUUCAUCUGCUCCAGGUCUCGUCCUCAUCUUUGUCUGUGGUUUUUGACAGGUUUAAGUUGAACACUGUCUUGUGUGCAGGAGAGCCAUUAACCCACAGGUGAUGUGGAAAUGGAAAGAAAACGGUUUGUGGGAAAAUCAGGCGAAGUCAAGCUAAAACUGGAAAACUGAAACAUUCCAUCUCUUUAUAUGCAACGUUUCCACAUGUCUUCCCACUAUAUGAUGCAUAAUACAGAAGACUGAUAAAUGGAUCUAAAGACCUGUAGUGCUUCAGCUGGCCUGAAG